rnacentral:rRNA from 1 species
GGGCAAGCGUUGCUCGGAAUCACUGGGCGUAAAGGGCGCGUAGGCGGGAUGGCAAGUCGGUCGUGAAAUCCUUCGGCUCAACCGAAGAACGUCGGCCGAUACUGCCGUUCUUGAGGGAUGCAGAGGAGAUUGGAAUUCCCGGUGUAGCGGUGAAAUGUGUAGAGAUCGGGAGGAACACCGGUGGCGAAGGCGGGUCUCUGGGCAUCUCCUGACGCUGAGGCGCGAAAGCGUGGGGAGCAAACGGG